AUACUCUGUUUUCUCUUCAGUUCGUAUAAAUCUUUCGCCUUUUAUUAAAGAUUUCCGUGGAGAGGAACAUUUAUGAGUUUGUACCCAACUUUUUGAGGCUUUGCUUUAGCGAGGCU